GUUUUUAAACUGAAGUUGAAAGCUCAAUUUGUUGUCAUUCAGUUAUUCUUGUGUGUAGGCUUAAUUAAUUUGUGGGGUUUUCAUCGUUGAAUGUGAUUUCUGCUCCUAUUUACUUUCACCUAUGACUUUUAAAUUGGUAAAUUGAAAAGAGAAGGGAUUUGAACUUCAAUCCUCAAUCCUCAUAAUGAAACUCUUGUUUUACUUUGAAAUAUUUAAAUGUUGGAGAUUUUCUUAUGCAGUUGAAGAAUCAUGGUUCAUACUCAAUAAAUUGAGUGAUAAACUGAAAGUGUCAUCCAGGAUCUACAGUAGCUAUUUUUGGUAUUGUAGGAUUCCAAUUCUUAUGUUUUAGUUUUUAACAUUGAUAAUUUCUUUUAUAAGUUCAGAGUAAGGUACUCAACUCAAACUAUUAAAAUUGAGCAUUUGAAAGUGGGUAGCUAUAGCGAUCAAAAAGAGGUAUUGUUGUUGUAGAGUUAUAUAGUUGACCCAUUGAUUAAAUUUGACAGCCUCUUCAUAUUGGUAUUGUUUUAAUCCUAAGAUUACAUCUGCUAUUUUAAUUUUCUUUGUUUAAGUUGAUGUGUGUGUCUUAUUUUGGUUGAGAUCUUUCUUCUACCCACUCCCAAACGUCGACGAUGAUGCAAUCGAAGGAAGCAAUUGGGAAUGGUUGUGUGUUGCAAUGAGUAAUGUUUCUAGGAAGAUUUUUAAUGAUGGUAGCAACUUCUUUGAUUCUACAGGGCUAGUGAGGCCGAGUCACCGAGAGGUGUAGAUGGAGGUGCUUUCAGUUUCAGGAGCUGCAAUGUGGGUGGUGAGAGUGAUAGUCCCUAUGAUUCCAAUAUGGGCCUUGCUGGUGCUGUGGCUGAGGCCAAAGAAGAUGGAAAACCUUCUGAGAGAUGUCAAGGUCUUCAAAGCCAACCUUGCAAGCUUAACCUUUUCAGUAACGACUCCAAGCAAAACUACAUGCUCAAGGUGUGCCUUCCGAUCAAACUGUCCACAAAUAUGGUAUGCAUGUCGUUUAGUGUUGUUUCUUACUUAUUGUGUGUUGAGUUUUGAAACUUCAAAGGGCAUGUCUUUUCCAUUUUCUUUUUAGUUGUUGUUGGAGAGUGGAGAAUCUUUAACGGAAAAUUUGUCUCGCUAUGUCUAUUAUUGGAAGGAGGGUUUAAAUUAUUAUUUGUUGCUGAAUACCCUUGUCUUGUAUCACAUGAAGUGAAAAUCAUGAUCAGGGUGUUUUAGUUCUGGAAAUUAGCAGUUACUAAGCAAAAUCUGAUGGCAUGAUUUUAAAUUUUAAUUUUUUAUAAAGUCAAGUAGCUUAAACUAUGACAGACAAAUAUUGGAAUUAUCUCCUUAGUUUUUUAUUUGUGUGAUGUCUGUUCAACAAAGGUUAGACAAUAUUCACAAAGAUAUAAUACACCAAAGUCUUAGUAUUUGACUUAGUCAAUAUAUUCAGAAGGAUAGAGGGAUUAUUGUUCACAAUAUUUGGUAAAUAUAAUAUGGAUGAAGGGAUUAUUGGUCACAAGAUUUGGUAAAUGUAACAAGAUAUGGUUAUAAAUGUACCCAUUGGCUGUGAUGUUCCCCAUAUGUUGGGGUUUUGAAAUUUGAAAUCAAAUUAUAUGACAGCUUCUCUGGUUCUGGUGUAGUCCUCCUUUACUCAAGAUUGUUGCUCCUUCUUCGUGAGCUUUACUGUCACCGUUCCUGCCAAAAAUCUUCUGCUUGUCUUACCAUUGGUAGUUGCAGAUCGGCUUUGAAGAUAGGAGUGGUGGAGAAAAGGAGACAAAGUUAAAUAAAUGCAGAUCGGCAUUGCUCGAUUUGCCUUCAAUGUGUGUUUUACUAUAACUCUUUUGUUCUUACUGAUAUCAUACUAUUCUGAUCAAACAUAGAUACAAUUGGGUUGUUGUGCAUGUAAUGACUAUCAUUUUUCCGUAUAGUUUUGACUUUUGAGGACUUUUCUCUAUUUUAGAUUUUUAUUCCAUGGUGUAAAUUAUGUGGUCUUCAAUUGUUCAGUUUCUUGGUUCUUGAGUGGAAAAAAUAUCUUAUUUCCCUCUCUUUCUCUUUCAA